AUUGAACGCUGGCGGCGGGCCUAACACAUGCAAGUCGAGCGGAUGAGAAGAGCUUGCUCUUCGAUUCAGCGGCGGACGGGUGAGUAAUGCCUAGGAAUCUGCCUGGUAGUGGGGGACAACGUUUCGAAAGGAACGCUAAUACCGCAUACGUCCUACGUGAGAAAGCAGGGGACCUUCGGGCCUUGCGCUAUCAGAUGAGCCUAGGUGGGAUUAGCUAGUUGGUGAGGUAAUGGGUCACCAAGGCGACGAUCCGUAACUGGUCUGAGAGGAUGAUCAGUCACACUGGAACUGAGACACGGUCCAGACUCCUACGGGAGGCAGCAGUGGGGAAUAUUGGACAAUGGGCGAAAGCCUGAUCCAGCCAUGCCGCGUGUGUGAAGAAGGUCUUCGGAUUGUAAAGCACUUUAAGUUGGGAGGAAGGGCAGUAAGUUAAUACCUUGCUGUUUUGACGUUACCGACAGAAUAAGCACCGGCUAACUCUGUGCCAGCCGCCGCGGUAAUAC
rnacentral:rRNA from 1 species